GUAGACUACUGGGUGAAGGCUUUUCUUGACCGCCCGAGCCAGCCAACUCAAGAGACAAAGAAAAACUUUGAAGUAGUGGAUCUGGUGGAUGUCAAUACCCCUGAUUUAAUGGCACCUGUGUCUGCUAAAAAAGAAAAGAAAGUUUCCUGCAUGUUCAUUCCUGAUGGGCGGGUGUCUGUCUCUGCUCGAAUUGACAGAAAAGGAUUCUGUGAAGGUAAAAUCCUAGUGCUUAUGGCAGUUAAAACAGGAACUGGGUUUAGGGGCAAGGGCAUGGGACUGGGGUAGAGGAAGUGUCAUUAACUAUACUGAGUAUCAGUAAGUUUUCAUCUUUCUCAUUGCUAGGUGAUGAGAUUUCCAUCCAUGCUGACUUUGAGAAUACAUGUUCCCGAAUUGUGGUCCCCAAAGCUGCCAUUGUGGCCCGCCACACUUACCUUGCCAAUGGCCAGACCAAGGUGCUGACUCAGAAGUUGUCAUCAGUCAGAGGCAAUCAUAUUAUCUCAGGGACAUGCGCAUCAUGGCGUGGCAAGAGCCUUCGGGUUCAGAAGAUCAGGCCUUCUAUCCUGGGCUGCAACAUCCUUCGAGUUGAAUAUUCCUUACUGGUGGGUAGAUGCAGGGUGGCUUCAGCAGAGAAAUUGUUCAUCUGUUACCACAGCUGUCUUGUUUCUCCAGACCUCUGGUGUAAUAAACUGCCAUCUUCCUUUCUAGAUCUAUGUUAGCGUUCCUGGAUCCAAGAAGGUCAUCCUUGACCUGCCCCUGGUAAUUGGCAGCAGAUCAGGUCUAAGCAGCAGAACAUCCAGCAUGGCCAGCCGAACCAGCUCUGAGAUGAGUUGGGUAGAUCUGAACAUCCCUGAUACCCCAGAAGCUCCUCCCUGCUAUAUGGAUGUCAUUCCUGAAGAUCACCGAUUGGAGAGCCCAACCACUCCUCUGCUAGAUGACAUGGAUGGCUCUCAAGACAGCCCUAUCUUUAUGUAUGCCCCUGAGUUCAAGUUCAUGCCACCACCGACUUAUACUGAGGUGAGGAUUGUCAUCUUUACUGUUAAAUUUGUCCUAAGCUUUCUAUAAGAAGUUGACUUAGACGGAUUGCUAAACUGGUUUGUUCUUUUUGUUCUUACCUGAACUGAAAUAGUCUGUUUCUUUCUUUAGGUGGAUCCCUGCAUCCUCAACAACAAUGUGCAGUGAGCAUGUGGAAGAAAAGAAGCAGCUUUACCUACUUGUUUCUUUUUGUCUCUCUUCCUGGACACUCACUUUUUCAGAGACUCAACAGUCUCUGCAAUGGAGUGUGGGUCCACCUUAGCCUCUGACUUCCUAAUGUAGGAGGUGGUCAGCAGGCAAUCUCCUGGGCCUUAAAGGAUGCGGACUCAUCCUCAGCCAGCGCCCAUGUUGUGAUACAGGGGUGUUUGUUGGAUGGGUUUAAAAAUAACUAGAAAAACUCAGGCCCAUCCAUUUUCUCAGAUCUCCUUGAAAAUUGAGGCCUUUUCGAUAGUUUCGGGUCAGGUAAAAAUGGCCUCC
rnacentral:lncRNA from 1 species